rnacentral:rRNA from 1 species
AUGCCGUCGUUCCAAGGCUGGAUAGAUCUGCGGCCGGAGCUCCUCUGUCGCGUCGCCGAUGGCCUCGACGACCUCAGGUUCUACACCAGCGUGCGCGGCACCUGCACGGCGUGGCGUGGCGCGCUCGCGCCGCCUGCACCAUCGCUGCUCGUCCUCCUCCGCGACGACGCCACCAGACGUCGGCACGCCGCCAUCGUCUCGCUCCCCGCGCACCGCUCCUUCGGCCUCCAGGCAAUCCCCUCAGGCUCGUCCUGCCCCAACGCCUCGCCCCCGAUGCGCGGCUCCUUCGAGUUCAUGGCCACCUACCCGAUUAGGAGCUACCUCGGUUGCGGAGGCGGGUGGCUUGCCCUCUCCGUCUGCCUCUACGACGGCCAAAGCCUGCUCACCCUCUUCCACCCAGUCACCGCCGCCGAGAUCCUCCUACCGCCGCUCAUCUACGACACCCGCUUGCUCUCCAAGAUCGUUUUCGCGCCUGACCCCGCUAGGGAAGACUUCAUCACGGCCACCAUCUGCGACAUCGACAGGCUCGCCUACGUCACCGCGGGGGCUAGGAGGUGGGCCGUCCUUGACCGCGUCCGUCUUGCCACCGGAGACCAGCUCGUCGAUGUCAUCUACCAUCAAAUUGGUCAAAAUGGUAUGGUUUACUGCCUCACUCGAUUUGGGAAUGUUUAUGUGCUCCGCCUACCAGAACGUCGCCGCCGAGAACCCGUCAUCAUCGAGGACCAGACAUCAGCAGAGGAUCUUGUAACGCAUAACAGGCGCAUCAUUCAAAUGCACAAUGCCGGAUCGGACCUGAAUGCGCCGGCUAGCGUGCAACCACUACUCUUUUCUUCGGUGAGCAGUUUCACCCCACUGUACGUAGCUGUUUCGGAUUUCACAAGUGCCAAGAACCUGGUGUUCUGCAAUGGCAACCUAUACCAGAUCCGGAGGAAUGCUAGUUGUACCGUCACUUUGCAUCUGGCGGGAGGCAGUCAUCGCCGUAUAGAGGAGGAUGAAAUAUUUGUUCUCAAGUAUAAUCCCCGACGCAGGCCUUGCUGGGACGCGGUGGCUGACUUGGGGGGAUACUCAGUGUUUGUUGGGAGGAGCAAUGCGGUGUCAAUGCAUGCUGAAGGUGUUCCAGGGCUCAAGGGUAACUGUGUCUACUGGAUAGGUGGGAGAGGUAGGGAUCAAGGCAUGGUCUUUGACAUGGGGACCGGGAAAUCUACACCUUGCCUUCCCCCUACGGCUGGUGUCGUUCCAGGGCCUCUACAGUGUACAAUCUGCUGGUACUUUCCGAGGAAGGUAGUGAAUAACUGCAAUACAAAUGAAUUAGGUGUUUAUGGGACCCGAGCAAGGGUUCGGGCUCAACGUGCACAAGACAUGUCACAAUGA